rnacentral:rRNA from 1 species
CCUACGGGCGGCAGCAGUAGGGAAUAUUGCUCAAUGGGGGAAACCCUGAAGCAGCAACGCCGCGUGGAGGAUGAAGGUUUUAUGGUUUUUAAACCCUUUUUUUAGAGAAGUUUAUGACGGUAUCUAUCGAAUAAGCCCCGUCUAACUCCGUGCCAGCAGCCGCGGUAACACGGAGGGUGCAAGCGUUAAUCGGAAUCACUGGGCGUAAUGGGUGCGUAGGCGGGUUAAUAAGUCAGAUGUGAAAUCCUGUAGCUUAACCACAGAACUGCAUUUGAAACUGUUACUCUGGAGUGUGGGAGAGGUAGGUGGAAUUCUUGGUGUAGCGGUGAAAUGCGUAGAGAUCAAGAGGAACACUCAUUGCGAAGGCGACCUGCUGGAACAUUACUGACGCUGAGGCACGAAGGCGUGGGGAGCAAACAGGAUUAGAUACCCUUGUAGUC